CAGGAACUAUAAAAUGAGAAAAGAUUGAUGAAUAUUAAGUAGAAGAGUGAGAUGGUCAUCUUUGCAUUUAAAAAAGAUCAUUUGCUGUUGCUGUAUGGAAAAUGAAUUGGAGCAGGAAUUAUUGAUCAAAUUUGGAUCUCUGUGUGCUGUCCUCCAAUUUAAUACUUUCUGUGUUGCUGUUUUAUUUUCUUUCUUCUGGAACCUGGCAAAGUGCGUCAAGCGAUGAGGCUUCCUCUUUGAAGAUCACAGGUGAGAAGAUUAGGUGCUUUCUCAGAAGCCCAGCAACCUGAUGGGAGUGUGGAGUGAGCAAGACCCAAAUCGGAGCUUCAUCCCUGCAUGGUUCAUUUUGCUUAUUUGGCAAACUUGCCCUGCAGGUGAAAACAUUGGAAUCUUGUGAACCUCAACCUGUGUUUUACAUAUGUAUACAUGAAGCAUCCAAUGGCAUUACACCUCAGCCAGAGAAGAAGCUCUUAAGAGAUCAGGUGCCUCAUUUCACCCAUGGGCUGCUCCAGCAUUUCCAGCCUCCUCACUCCUGACACAUACAGGCACGUGCUCUCUGUGGAGUCUUUGCACUUCUCCUUUCCUUCCUGAAAUGCUCUUCCCCUGGGUGUCUUCAUCCUACCUCCCUCAACUCUUUCAUCUUGUUUAAAAAAUGUCAUUUUCUCAGUGAGAACUUCCUUGUCUUAUUCAGUUUGGGCUUCUCUAAUAAAAAUACUAUAGACUGAGUGGCUUAAACAGCAGAAAUUUAUUUCCCACAGUUCUAGAGGCUGAGAAGUCUGAGAUCAGGGUACCAGCCUGGUUGGAUUCUCAGUUUAGAGACAGCUAUCUUCUCAUUGUAUCUCACCUGGUGGAGAGCAGAGAGGGAGGAAGCAAGCUCUCUCACGUCUCUUCUUAUAAGGACACUAAUCCCAUUCAUGAUGGCUCCAUCCUCAUGACCAAAGGCCUUGCCUCCAAAUAUCAUCACACUGGGGAUUUGGCUUCAACAUUUGAUUUUGGGGGUGGGAAACAAAAAAUUUAGUCCAUAGCAUUCCCAAGUGAUUUGUUUAAAUUUUCUACUUAAUCUCUUCUGUGCUUAAAUGUAUCUCCUUAGUAUUGUCCUUUAUCUAUUGCCAAUGUAACUCAUCU
rnacentral:lncRNA from 1 species